rnacentral:rRNA from 1 species
CAUGCAGUCGAGCGCAGUCCUUCGGGACCGAGCGGCGGACGGGUUAGUAACGCGUGGGAACAUACCCUUUUCUACGGAAUAGCCUCGGGAAACUGAGAGUAAUACCGUAUAAGCCCUUCGGGGGAAAGAUUUAUCGGGAAAGGAUUGGCCCGCGUUAGAUUAGAUAGUUGGUGGGGUAAUGGCCUACCAAGUCUACGAUCUAUAGCUGGUUUUAGAGGAUGAUCAGCAACACUGGGACUGAGACACGGCCCAGACUCCUACGGGAGGCAGCAGUGGGGAAUCUUAGACAAUGGGCGCAAGCCUGAUCUAGCCAUGCCGCGUGUGUGAUGAAGGUCUUAGGAUCGUAAAGCACUUUCGCCAGGGAUGAUAAUGACAGUACCUGGUAAAGAAACCCCGGCUAACUCCGUGCCAGCAGCCGCGGUAAUACGGAGGGGGUUAGCGUUGUUCGGAAUUACUGGGCGUAAAGCGUACGUAGGCGGAUCAGAAAGUUAGGGGUGAAAUCCCGAGGCUCAACCUCGGAACUGCCUCUAAAACUCCUGGUCUUGAGUUCGAGAGAGGUGAGUGGAAUUCCAAGUGUAGAGGUGAAAUUCGUAGAUAUUUGGAGGAACACCAGUGGCGAAGGCGGCUCACUGGCUCGAUACUGACGCUGAGGUACGAAAGUGUGGGGAGCAAACAGGAUUAGAUACCCUGGUAGUCCACACCGUAAACGAUGAAUGCCAGUCGUCGGGCAGUAUACUGUUCGGUGACACACCUAACGGAUUAAGC